UACGGACGGGGCAAGCGUUGUUCGGAUUCAUUGGGCGUAAAGGGUGCGUAGGUGGCGCUGUAAGUGGGGUGUGAAAUCCCGGGGCUUAACUCCGGAACUGCAUUCCAUACUGCGGUGCUUGAGGACUGGAGAGGAGACUGGAAUUUACGGUGUAGCAGUGAAAUGCGUAGAGAUCAUGAGGAAGACCAGUGGCGAAGGCGGGUCUCUGGACAGUUCCUGACACUGAGGCACGAAGGCCAGGGGAGCAAACGGG
rnacentral:rRNA from 1 species